GCCUAUUAUAUUUUUUAUUUAUGUACGUUCGAUUACGUUUCCAUUAAAAUGAAGAAAAUACAAAAAAAUCUGAAGCAACACGACCAGCCGAAAAUGGCUGUGACAGAAAAAUAUUGUAACAAGUGAUGUCGAUGAAAUUGUUCUCUUUAGAUUAAUUAUAUGUGACAUUAAUGAUGGAAAUAAAUUUAGAUGAGUGUCCAUUUUCAUUAUAUCAAAAUCUCUAUUGUAUUUCAUGGUUGUUACCUAUAAAAGGGCUGAACAAUCUCCCUUCAUCAAGAAUCGCUACACGUACCAGCUGUAAAGCCGGGAGCAGAUUUCCAAUAGCCUUGGAGAAUGCAAGGAUCACGAAGGAGCGUUAGAAAACGUUUCGUUGCGGUAUCGCGUCCAGUAUCAAU
rnacentral:lncRNA from 1 species